CCUACGGGCGGCAGCAGUGGGGAAUAUUGGACAAUGGGGGGAACCCUGAUCCAGCGACGCCGCGUGAGUGAAGAAGGAUUUCGGGAUGUAAAGCUCUAGCAGCAGGGAAGAAAAGGACGGUACGUGACUAAGAAGCACCGGCUAACUACGUGCCAGCAGCCGCGGUAAUACGUAGGGGGCAAGCGUUAUCCGGAUUUACUGGGUGUACCGGGAGCGUAGACGGUGCAGCAAGUCUGAUGUGAAAGGUCGGGGCCCAACCCCGGGACUGCAUUGGAAACUGUGGAACUUGAGUACAGGAGAGGUAACCGGAAUUCCUAUUGUAGCGGUGAAAUGCGUAGAUAUUAGGAGGAACACCAGUGGCGAAGGCGUCUUACUGGACUGUAACUGCCGUUGCGGCUCGACAGCGUGGGUCUCAAACAGGAUUAGAUACCCGAGUAGUC
rnacentral:rRNA from 1 species